rnacentral:rRNA from 1 species
UACGUAGGGUGCGAGCGUUGUCCGGAAUUAUUGGGCGUAAAGGGCUCGUAGGCGGUUUGUCGCGUCGGGAGUGAAAUCCACUGGCUUAACUGGUGGCUUGCUUUCGAUACGGGCAGACUGGAGGUAUGCAGGGGAGAACGGAAUUCCUGGUGUAGCGGUGAAAUGCGCAGAUAUCAGGAAGAACACCGGUGGCGAAGGCGGUUCUCUGGGCAUGUCCUGACGCUGAGGAGCGAAAGUGUGGGGAGCGAACAGG